UACGUAGGGUGCGAGCGUUGUCCGGAAUUACUGGGCGUAAAGCGUGCGCAGGCGGUUUUGUAAGACUGUCGUGAAAUCCCCGGGCUCAACCUGGGAAUGGCGAUGGUGACUGCAAGGCUAGAGUUUGGCAGAGGGGGGUAGAAUUCCACGUGUAGCAGUGAAAUGCGUAGAUAUGUGGAGGAACACCGAUGGCGAAGGCAGCCCCCUGGGUCAAAACUGACGCUCAUGCACGAAAGCGUGGGGAGCAAACAGG
rnacentral:rRNA from 1 species